rnacentral:rRNA from 1 species
GACGAACGCUGGCGGCGUGCUUAACACAUGCAAGUCGAACGGAAAGGCCCUGCUUUUGUGGGGUGCUCGAGUGGCGAACGGGUGAGUAACACGUGAGUAACCUGCCCUUGACUUGGGAUAACUUCAGGAAACUGGGGCUAAUACCGGAUAGGAGCUCCUGCUGCAUGGUGGGGGUUGGAAAGUUUCGGCGGUUGGGGAUGGACUCGCGGCUUAUCAGCUUGUUGGUGGGGUAGUGGCUUACCAAGGCUUUGACGGGUAGCCGGCCUGAGAGGGUGACCGGCCACAUUGGGACUGAGAUACGGCCCAGACUCCUACGGGAGGCAGCAGUGGGGAAUAUUGCACAAUGGGCGGAAGCCUGAUGCAGCAACGUCGCGUGCGGGAUGACGGCCUUCGGGUUGUAAACCGCUUUCGCCUGUGACGAAGCGUGAGUGACGGUAAUGGGUAAAGAAGCACCGGCUAACUACGUG